rnacentral:rRNA from 1 species
GACGAACGCUGGCGGCGUGCUUAACACAUGCAAGUCGAGCGGAAAGGCCCUUUCGGGGGUACUCGAGCGGCGAACGGGUGAGUAACACGUGAGUAAUCUGCCCUUGGCUUUGGGAUAACUACCGGAAACGGUGGCUAAUACCGGAUACGACUGCUCCCGGCAUCGGGGGUGGUGGAAAGUUUUUCGGCCAGGGAUGUGCUCGCGGCCUAUCAGCUUGUUGGUGGGGUAAUGGCCUACCAAGGCUUCGACGGGUAGCCGGCCUGAGAGGGUGACCGGCCACACUGGGACUGAGACACGGCCCAGACUCCUACGGGAGGCAGCAGUGGGGAAUAUUGGACAAUGGGCGGAAGCCUGAUCCAGCAACGCCGCGUGAGGGAUGACGGCCUGG